UGUGUCUCAGGACAGGGAGGGUCUGCAGAAUCCCAGGACCUGGGAGGAGAAGCGCCUCCUGAAGGAGGCGCUGGGCAGCGGGCGCUCCCCUCCGGGGCCAACAAGGGCGAAGCUCGGGGGUCUCGACUAUUGGGAAUCCACCUCGCGAGGGAGGACUUGACUUGGCCCGGGGCCGAAGCAGAGAGACAAGAAAACUUUUCUUAUGAGCUGUUGGCAGCUGUUAACAAUUGAAGAAAGUAUACUCCUGUAAACACAUUUUGGUGCAUAUUUGUCUCUGCUUUUGAAUUAUCUGGAAUUUGGAAACUAUUUGACAUGAGACUUCACAACGUGCAAAAUGUGAGCUUUCCUAAUAACAUGGGACCUCCCUUUCUCGGAAUAAACUGUCCUAGCCAUGAGGGAUCAGAGGAAACCUAAGAACAGAGACUCCUUUUCUUCUAAAAUGCUUUCUCCAAAAAAUUUUUAAAAAGAAAAAGGCAUUAGAGGGGAGAGUUAAAAUCAUCAUUAAAAAAAACCAGGGGUAGGGGAAUGUGAAAAGUCCUGGGAGGUGGAGGUUGCAGUGAGCUGAGAUAAUGCCACUGCACACUAGCCUGGAGGAAAGACCAAAGACUCUCUCAAAACAAAAUAAAAACCUCAAAUUGAAUACAAUAUUUUAUAAACUGAAUUGGCCUUUUCCACAUAUGUUCUGGCUCCUUUGACAUACAUACUGUCUUGAGUUUUAACAAAUUUUGUCUUGUAGUUGUUGUGUAGUAUGUAAUAUUCCAGGCCAAUCUUGGAGAAGCAGGCUUGGUUAUCCCUAGCAUGAUUUCAAGGAUGUGUAGUCUGUUGUGAGAACUGGUUUUAAAUUUUACCACACUGAUUACAUUUGUAAGGUUUAUCUCCAGUAUGAAUUUGGUAAAGAUUGAAAACACACUACUGCUUAAAGUCCCUUUCAUGUUCAGCACAUUCAUAGGAUUUUUCUCCUAUAUAAAUUCUCUCACUCCAAAAGCACGAACAUUUGAUUUUUUUUUUUUGAGACAGAGUCUCACUCUGUCGCCCAGGCUGGAGGUGCGAUCUCGCCUCACUGCAAGCUCUGCCUCCUGGAUUCAUGCCAUUCUCCUGCCUCAGCCUCCCAAGUAGCUGGGACUACAGGCGCCCACCACCUCGCCCAGCUAAUUUUUCGUAUUUUUAGUAGAGACGGGGUUUCACGGUGUUAGCCAAGAUGGUCUCGAUCUCCUGACCUCAUGAUCCACCUGCCUUGGCCUCCCAAAGUGCUGGGAUUACAGGCGUGAGAUACCACGCCCGGUCGAACAUUUGAUUUUUUAAAAAGUCUUACUACAUUUGUUACAUUUGUAAGGUAGCUCUUCAGUAUGAAUACUCUGGUUUCCAUUUUGAUGUUCAGGUAAAAGCCUUACCACACACAUUACAUUUGUGUGGUUCCUCUCAAAGUUGUAUAUUUUGAUGUCUCGUGAGUUCUGAUGCCUGGGGAAAGUCUCUGGCAUAUACAUGUAGAUUUCCUAUCAGUAUAAACUCCCUUAUGUCCAGUAGUGAUUGAACUCUGGUAAAGGUUUUGCCACACUCUUUUCAUUUGUAAAGCAUCUCUGCACUAUGAAUUAUCUAUAGAUCCACAAGUUUUGAUCUUUGAAUAGAAUUCUUGCCACACAUACUGCACUUCAGUAAUUUCUCUCCAAUAUGUGUAUUCUUUUUUUUUUUUUUUUUUGGAGACAAAGUCUUGCUCUGUUGCCCAGGCUGGAGUGCAGUGGUGUGAUUUUGGCUCACUGCAACCUCCACCUCCCGGGUUCAAGCAAUUCUCCUCCCUCAGCCUCCAAAGUAGCUGGGACUAUGGGCACACGCCACCACGCCUGGCUAAUUUUUUUGUAUUUUAGUAGAGACGGGGUUUCACUCUGUUGCCCAGGCUGGUCUCAAACUCCUGAGCUCAGGUAAUCUGCCCACUUCAGCCUCCCAAAGUGUUAGGAUUAUAAGUGUGAGCCACUGCACCCGGCCUUCCAGUAUGUACAUUCUUAUGCCAAGUGAGUAGUGAACAGUACCUUAAAACUUAGCCACAUUUACUGCAUGUGUAAAUGUAUUGGGCCAUAUUUGAAUUGCUAUAAAGAAAUACCCGAGGCUGGGUAAUUUAUAAAGAAGUUUAAUUGACUCACAGUUCUGCAGGCUUUACAGGAAACAUGAUGCUGGCAUCUGCUCACCUUCUGAGGAAGCCUCAGGAAUGUUAAAAUCAUGGUGAAAGGAAAAAGGGGAGUGGGCAUGUCACAUGGCAAGAAUAGGAGCAAGAGAGAGGAAAGUUCCAUACACUUUUUGUUUUUUUUUUUUUUUUUGGAGACAAGGUCUCGCUGUCACCCAGGCUGGAGUGCACUGGCACGAUCUUGGCUCAGUGCAACCUCUGUCUCCUGGGUUCAAGUGAUCCUCAUGCUUCAGCCUCCUGAGUAGCUGGGAUUACAGGCAUGCAUCACCAUGCCUGGCUAAUGUUUCUAUUUUAGUAGAGACAACUGUUCACCACGUUGACCAGCCUGGUUUUGAACACCUGGCCACAAGUGAUCUGCCUGCUUCAACCUCCCUAAAUGCUGGGAUUACAGGCAUGACCCACCAUGCCUGACGUGCCAUACACUUUCAACCAACAAGAUCUCAGCCGGGCGCGGUGGCUCACACCUAUAAUCCUGGCACUUUGGGAGGCCGAGGCGGGCAGACCACAAGGUCAAGAAAUUGAGACCAUCCCGGCCAACAUGGUGAAACUCCGUCUCUACUAAAAAUACAAAAAUUAGCCAGGCAUGGUGGUGUGCACCUGUAGUCUCAGCUACUCAGGGAGACUGAGGCAGGAGAAUCACUUGAACCUGGGAGGCAGAGGUUGCAGUGAGCCGAGAUCACGCCACUGCAUUCCAGCCUGGCGACAGAGAGAGACUCCGUCUCAAAAAAACAAAACAAAAAAAACCACAAGAUCUCCCCAGAACUCACUAUCCCAAGAAGAGCAAAAAGCGAGUGGUGCUAAACCAUUCUUGAGAAAUCCACCCCUGUGAUCCAAUCAUCUCCCACCAGGCCCCACCUCCAAUAAGGGGGAUUAAAAUUCCACAUGAGAUUUCAGACGGAAGUGACAAAUAUACAAACUAUAUCAAUAAGUAUGAAUUAUUUGAACCCAGAAGUUAGGAGAACAUCUAAAGGCUUUUCCACGUUGAAUUUUGUUGUAAGAUUUUCUGCAGUAUGUUUUGUCUGAUGUUUAGUGAGGCCUGAGCGACUAAUGAAAGAUUUGCCACACUCAUUACAUUUAUAAGGUUUUUCUCCAGAAUGAAUUAUUUGGUGUUUGUUGAGGCAAGAAAACCGCCCAAAGGCCUUGCCACAUUCCAUACAUUUGUAUGGCUUCUCUCCAGUGUGGUUUCUUUGAUGGUACACCAGCUUUGACCUUUCAAUAAAAGCUUUACCACAUU